rnacentral:lncRNA from 10 species
AGGGUUGGAGAGGGACAAAGAUCCAUCUCCUUCUGUAGCUUCUUCAGGCUUAAGAGGAGCAAUGAUAUUCCUGCCUAACAAUUAGAGUCUCUCGUAUUUGGGGUAGAGAGGAGCUCGUCAAAAAGCAUUGGUAUGAUGAGAGCCAUUCAUAACUCUGGAAAAAAAUUUAAGUAACUUUAAAAAUUGGCAUAUUUCUGGUUGAUUGCCAGAAAAAUGUUUUCAAAUUUUAUACACAUGCACACACAAACACAUGACCUAAUUCUGUGGUGUUAGACAAUAGCUUUGAUCAUUUUUAUUAGUUAAGGUAUAGUUUGUCUAA